rnacentral:rRNA from 1 species
ACCAGACUCCUACGGGAGGCAGCAGUGGGGGAUAUUGCACAAUGGGGGGAACCCUGAUGCAGCGACGCCGCGUGGGUGAAGAAGCGCCUCGGCGCGUAAAGCCCUGUCAGCAGGGAAGAAAAUGACGGUACCUGAAGAAGAAGCCCCGGCUAACUACGUGCCAGCAGCCGCGGUAAUACGUAGGGGGCAAGCGUUAUCCGGAUUUACUGGGUGUAAAGGGGGCGCAGACGGCGAUGCAAGCCAGGAGUGAAAGCCCGGGGCCCAACCCCGGGACUGCUCUUGGAACUGCGUGGCUGGAGUGCAGGAGGGGCAGGCGGAAUUCCUGGUGUAGCGGUGAAAUGCGUAGAUAUCAGGGGGAACACCGGUGGCGAAGGCGGCCUGCUGGACUGCAACUGACGUUGAGGCCCGAAAGCGUGGGGAGCAAACAGGAUUAGAUACCCCCGUAGG